CAGUACUCAUGCAGGAUUGGUACUAGAGGAAUGGAAGUGCGCCAAGGGAGACAAGACGAUCCGUCCCUUGUGGUUAGGCCUGGGGAGGACAUCCCCGAAAAUCCAGAAGGCAAGAAAGUGGGGGAUGAGGACUCCAAAAUGGUUCCCUGAAUAACUGGGAUACAUCAGGCAGAUGCUUUUGUUUAGUUUAGACAAGUGUUUAUUUGAUAGUGAAAGGGUUUAAUCAGUUUAGACAAAUGUUUAUUUGAUAGUGAAAGGGUUUAAUCAGUUUAGACAAGUGUUUAUUUGAUAGUGAAAGUGGUUUAUCAGUGUAGACAAAUGUUUAUUUGAUAGUGAAAGGGGGUAUCAUUAUCGACCCCUUUUUGUAUAUGGAAAUAUAACUUCAUUGGUCC